AAGCCAAAGAAAAAAGAUACAUGCAUUUUACAAUUCACGUGUGGGAAGUAAAUUUGGCAUCUUUUAAUGGUUAUUUAAUUUUUUAUUAGCGAUCAACUGAAAGCUAGGGUUUUUGUUCUCCAAGCUCUGCCAUUAUUUCUUAUUAGCAACACUGAAGCAUGGCCAAACGAUUUGAAACCAUGCGCAGGCUCCACCAAGUAUUCUGCCAAUCCUAAACUUUCACCAGUCUUGUUUAUCACGACCUUUCCUCUAGUGUGAAUACAAAAAUGCUCACAAGCCCGACAAAAAGAAGAAAUAGUUGGAAUUGAGGGGGUCCGAAAGGGAGGAUUUGACAAAGAAAGACAUAAAGGACUUUUUUUGGGGAACCAUAAGCAGGGGGAUGAGAAGUAGUUGAUCCCUCCCCUCUAUUCGUUUUUGGAGCCGAUACAAGCCCACUGGAAAUGUGUCUGGAGAUUUACAGACACUACAAUGAAAGAAUGGAGUGACCAAGUUAUAUUUGCUGCAAAUUUAAAGCCUUUAGACAUGAUGCAUGACAGAACAUAGAUCCAGGUCUCCCUGCCCUUGAUAUACAUUGUACUUGUCAUCUUGCCAGUGCAGUUUCUUCUGGGAGCAUCCUUUCUCAAAGAGAGGUAAAAGGUGAAUCUGUUGUGAGUCGUGUCAUCAAAGAGUGGGUAAGCUAUAAUUCUCUCUUUUCUAAAACUUAAAAUGUCUUAUAAUAUCUCAUCAUUUAGUAAGCUUAUGAAAAAAUGACAAGCUUGUGUUUGAUUUUCAUACCUUUUUCACCAGCACCCCUAUAUAAAAAGAGUCUCAAAAUCAAUGUCAUUUUAAUGAUGGGUUCCAUAUGCUUAUCUGAUACAUAUAGGUCCAAUAGUUUUUGAUUUAUAGGCGUGUCACAUAUAUACAACCAGAAUAUUUGGCAGCAUGCCUUUAUCUUAUGUAAGAUUUUUUGAAGUGGUUUAUUGUAAUCCAUUGUCCUUAUACAAAACAUACAUUUUAUAGUCAACAUAUUGGAUUUAACAUUGCAAACUAUUCUAGAAUCAACCUGUACACCACAUAUACAAUAGUAAAACAUAGAAAAGAACAUGUCUCCUUGUUCCCCUAGUGACAUCUAUAUGGUCAUAUUAGUCAUUAUAUUUAUAUACUCCUGUCAGAUAACAUUGCAUAAAUAUUCGUUUAAAAUCUAUACAGUAUGAUGAUGGCCUUGUUGGGUGCAAAUGACAAGUCAUCUUUGAUUCUCAAUGCUCUAUUCAAUGUUGUAUCUUGCAAAGAUGUCCCAAAUAUAAUCCAAAUCCUCUGCCCAUUUUGCAUUCAGAGAGGUCAAAUCAUAUUCAAACGUUGUAUCAGUCAAGAUGUAAUUUUUAAUUUGUGUUGUUUUGUUUAAAUGACUACCCUGUAGCUUGUAUUGGCAGGCCUUUUCAGUAGAUAUAAGAAGCUAAUCGGUAGUCUCUUAUGGCAUCAUUCCUAUUUGGACCUUGAGGACUUGAAAGUAGUCAUAAACUAGGAUGGCUUGAAACUAUAUUGAAGUAUCUUAGUUAGCCAACUCUAGCUGAUAACAGAUAUGUUUUUCUAUACAAAGCCAAACUGAACAAGGCUCAUACAUCUAAAUUAGUACAAAUAUAACUGUUGUUGAAAAACAUUGGAAUAGGCAGAAGGAUACUUGGUACUCUAUGGUUGUGUUGUAAUUGAUUAAGUGUUAAUAUUAAUUUAGAUUGACAAGUUCUUUCUGAACUCCUUACAA